rnacentral:rRNA from 1 species
GUGGGGAAUCUUGCGCAAUGGGCGAAAGCCUGACGCAGCCAUGCCGCGUGAAUGAUGAAGGUCUUAGGAUUGUAAAAUUCUUUCACCGGGGACGAUAAUGACGGUACCCGGAGAAGAAGCCCCGGCUAACUUCGUGCCAGCAGCCGCGGUAAUACGGAGGGGGCUAGCGUUGCUCGGAAUUACUGGGCGUAAAGGGCGCGUAGGCGGAUCGUUAAGUCAGGGGUGAAAUCCCAGAGCUCAACUCUGGAACUGCCCUUGAUACUGGCGAUCUUGAGUGUGAGAGAGGUAUGUGGAACUCCGAGUGUAGAGGUGAAAUUCGUAGAUAUUCGGAAGAACACCAGUGGCGAAGGCGACAUACUGGCUCAUUACUGACGCUGAGGCGCGAAAGCGUGGGGAGCAAACAGGAUUAGAAACCCUGGUAGUCC